UUUGAAAGAACUUUUUCCCAACUCCUGUGCUCUUUCUCGAUUCGGUGGGUGGUGGUGCAUGGCCGUUGUUAGUUGGUGGAGCGAUCCGUCUGGUUAAUUCCGAUAACGAAUGAGACUCCGGCCUGCUGAC